GAAAAGGGGGAGAGAGGAGGCGGAGGAAUGUGGAGGGGGGAGACGUAAAUGGGUAGUACUGGUCGUAAAGGGCACGUAGGGGGUUGGAGAAGUUAGAUGUGAAAUCCCCGGGAUCAACCUGGGAAUUGCAGGUAAAACUGUCCAGAGAGAGUGUGGGAGAGGGUGGUAGAAUGCCAGGUGUAGCGGUGAAAUGCGUAGAGAUCUGGAGGAAUACCGGUGGCGAAGGCGGCCCCCUGGACAAAGACUGACGCUCAGGUGCGAAAGCGUGGGGAGCAAACAGGAUUAGAUACCCGAGUAGUC
rnacentral:rRNA from 1 species